rnacentral:rRNA from 1 species
AGUGAACGCUGGCGGUAGGCCUAACACAUGCAAGUCGAACGGCAGCACAGUAAGAGCUUGCUCUUACGGGUGGCGAGUGGCGGACGGGUGAGGAAUACAUCGGACUCUACUUUUUCGUGGGGGAUAACGUAGGGAAACUUACGCUAAUACCGCAUACGACCUACGGGUGAAAGCAGGGGAUCUUCGGACCUUGCGCGAUUGAAUGAGCCGAUGUCGGAUUAGCUAGUUGGCGGGGUAAAGGCCCACCAAGGCGACGAUCCGUAGCUGGCCUGAGAGGAUGAUCAGCCACACUGGAACUGAGACACGGUCCAGACUCCUACGGGAGGCAGCAGUGGGGAAUAUUGGGCAAUGGGCGCAAGCCUGAUCCAGCCAUACCGCGUGGGUGAAGAAGGCCUUCGGGUUGUAAAGCCCUUUUGUUGGGAAAGAAAAGCAGCAGGUUAAUACCCCGCUGUUCUGACGGUACCCAAAGAAUAAGCACCGGCUAACUUCGUG